GGCCCCAUAAAGAACACAAUAAAGAUGAAAUGGCUUAAUGUCCUGCUUCAAUGUACAUCAAGACUACACAGAGUUACUACCUGCAGGAACAGGACUGAGCACAUUCAACAUGAGCCCUGGAACACAACACAUUUCCAUCAAUCAAGACUUAGUAGGGUACAUGAUGAAAAAAUGCACCGUCAUCCUCCUCCUGGAGUUUAAGUUCGUAUGGCUAGCAUCUACAGCUCAGAAGAUCCA